GGGAGUUAGGGUUAUUGGAGACCGAGUGGUCCUUGUAAUGUCGUUUUGUAUUUUUUUUUGUAACGCCCACAACCUUGGCCCUUUUUUCAUCUUUCUUGGGCUCUUGGCCUUCAGCCCUUAUUUGGGCUAUGGACUUUUUUUUUUGUGCCCCCCAUCUGUUUUGGGCCUUGGACAGCUGCCCCUGUGACAUUGGGCUUGGUCACCACCCUUCUCGCCGAUUUCUCCCUCCGUCUUCGAAUCCGGCCACACCCACACCACACAAAUGACUCACCUCUCUGAUCUCUCUCAAAUCAGAUAAAUUUUGGAAUUAAUUUAGGGUUCGAAUUCUAGAUUAGGGUUUGUGAAAUUUAGCACAUGGAGGUGGAACUGAUAUGAAAUUUAGUCCCUUUUGGCUAAAUUUCAACACUUUCUCAAAUUUCAAGAACUGGGGUUUGGGAUUUCAGCUAAAUUUUGAUUUUCCAAAGCAGAUUCUGUGCGCUUACUUCGUGGUGCUUCCGCUGCGCGAUGAGGGUGCAAUUUCCUUAGGUCUGUCGAGCCUGCCGAGCCUGUUUGUGGGGUCAUGGACCUUCACCUCCAUUGCCUCACCAGUUGCAACUCUCAUUUUCUCUCUGCCCAACGUUUCGAAAGGCAAGUUUUUGGUGGAAGUAUUAGCAUCAAUAUUGGUAAAGAAUUAUGCAGUAUGUUAGGAUUGUGCCUAUAUCUCGGACACAGGAUUAGUUUUAAGAUGUAACAUUUCAGGUACUGCCGUGUAAUCUCUUUUCAUGAAGGCCACUGCUUGAAACGUGUGGGAAACAUUCCCUUGGAUGAAUACAAUGUUUCAGUAAUAUGAUGCAUGUGUCGUCCUAAUAUAAGCUUUCCGAGCUCUUGGGAUUUCUAUGAGUCAUGUCAGUGAGAUGUUCAUGCUUAUGAGUAAGUUGUAUCCUAGUAUAAGCUGUAUCCUUGGGAUUUCUAUGUAUGAAGUUAAAGGCUAAAAGCCCAAUAUGUAUGAAGUUAUGCACAGAUUGAUAUUGAUUGCACAUAUUGGGUUGGGUUAUAAA